AUCAAACCGGCAAACCGCACGCUUCCCUCCUCGACGGCGGCGGCUCGGCUCGGCUUCCCUCCUCGACGGCGACGGCCUCGAGCCCUCGAGGAGGCCUCGUCGGCGUCCGCGCCAUGCGCCUUGGUCUCCGCUGGCUCAAGCCUGCGCCGCGGCCAUGCCGCUCCACUACCUUCUCCACCGCGAGGGCCGUCAUGAAUGCCCCCUCCGCGGACCGGUUGCUGGAGCUCCUGCGCGGCUGCGUCUCCGCGUCCCACCUCCCUCUGGGCCUCCAAAUCCACGCGCGGGCCGUCGCGUCGGGGAACCUCGCCUCCCACCCGGUGCUCCAGACCCGGCUCAUCGGCAUGUACGUCCUCGCGCGCCGGUUCCGCGACGCCGUCUCGGUGUUCUCCGCGCUACCGCGGCGCGACGCCGCAUCCGCGCUGCCAUGGAACUGGCUCAUCCGCGGAUUCACAGCGGACGGCCAGCACCGCCUCGCCGUUCUGUUCUACCUCAAGAUGUGGAGCCACCCCGCCGCGCCGCGCCCGGACGGACACACUCUCCCCUACGUUGUCAAGUCCUGCGCCGCGCUCGGCGCGGUUGCCCUCGGCCGCCUCGUGCACCGCACGGCACGGGGGAUCGGGCUCGGCCGUGACGUGUACGUUGGGAGCGCGCUCAUCAAGAUGUACGCAGACGCUGGCCUCCUCAGAGACGCUCGCGAGGUAUUCGACGGAAUGGGAGAGCGGGACUGCGUCCUUUGGAACGUGAUGAUGGAUGGGUGCAUAAAGGCCGGAGACAUUGACAGGGCAGUGCAUUUGUUCCGGGACAUGCGGGCAUCUGGUUGUGAGCCCAAUUUCGCGACACUGGCAUGCUUUCUGUCUUUGUGUGCCGUGGAGGCUGACUUGCUGUCUGGGGUGCAGCUUCACUCUCUGGCAGUGAAAUGUGGUUUAGAGACAGAGGUGGCAGUGGCUAACACAUUGCUGUCUAUGUAUGCCAAAUGCCGGUGCUUGGACGAUGCAUGGAGAUUGUUUCACCUGAUUCCACGGGAUGACUUGGUAACCUGGAACGGGAUGAUCUCAGGAUGUGUUCAAAACGGGCUUCUUGAUGAAGCAUUGGGAUUGUUCUGUGAGAUGCAGAGGAGUGGUGUUCGACCAGAUUCAGUUACACUGGUCAGUUUGUUACCAGCUUUGACUGACUUGAAUGGUUUCAUGCAGGGGAAGGAGAUACAUGGUUAUAUUGUCAGGAACUGUAUACGCAUGGAUGUCUUUUUGGUGAGUGCUUUGGUAGACAUCUAUUUCAAGUGCAGGGAUGUGAGGAUGGCACAAAAUAUUUAUGAUGCGGCUAAGGCCAUCGAUGUGGUUAUUGGUAGUACAAUGAUAUCAGGUUAUGUUCUUAAUGGGAUGAGUGAAGAGGCACUGCAAAUGUUCCGGUACUUGUUAGAACAGGGCAUCAAACCAAAUGCUGUUACUGUAGCUAGCAUCUUGCCAGCAUGUGCUAGCAUGGCUGCUGUGGUUCUUGGUAAGGAGAUCCAUGGUUAUGUUCUAAGAAAUUCAUAUGAAGGAAAAUGUUAUGUGGAGAGUGCACUAAUGGACAUGUAUGCAAAAUGUGGCAGGCUUGACCUUAGCCAUUAUAUCUUUUCCAAGAUGUCUGUGAAGGAUGAGGUGACAUGGAACUCAAUGAUUUCAAGCUUUGCACAGAAUGGAGAACCAGAAGAAGCUCUUGACCUUUUCCGUCAAAUGACUAUGGAAGGAAUACAGUACAGUAAUGUAACUAUAUCUUCUGCCUUAUCAGCAUGUGCAAGUUUACCAGCUAUAUAUUAUGGAAAAGAGAUUCAUGGUGUUGUCAUAAAGGGUCCUAUAAGGGCAGACAUAUUUGCUGAGAGUGCCCUGAUAGACAUGUACGGUAAAUGUGGGAACUUGGAUUUGGCUCUUCGUGUUUUCAAAUCUAUGCCUGAUAAGAAUGAAGUGUCAUGGAAUAGUAUAAUUGCUGCCUAUGGGGCUCAUGGUCUUUUUAAAGAGUCAGUGAGUUUAUUGCAUCGUAUGCAAGAGGAAGGAUUCAAGCCUGAUCAUGUAACAUUCCUUGCUUUGAUAUCUGCCUGUGCUCAUGCUGGGCAGGUUGAAGAAGGAGUUCGACUGUUUCAAUGCAUGACUGAGGAAUAUCAGAUUGCACCACGAAUGGAGCAUUUUGCUUGCAUGGUUGACCUAUACAGUCGUUCUGGGAAGUUAAAUAAAGCUAUUAAUUUCAUUGCUGAGAUGCCUUUCAAGCCAGAUGCUGGCAUUUGGGGUGCCCUUCUCCAUGCUUGCCGUGUGCAUCGCAAUGUUGAGCUUGCUGAUAUAGCUUCCCAAGAACUAUUUAAGUUGGAUCCUGGUAAUUCUGGUUACUAUGUCCUCAUGUCCAAUAUCAAUGCAGUUGCUGGACGAUGGGACAGUGUAUCAAAAGUUAGAAGAUUGAUGAAGGAUAAUAAAGUCCAGAAGAUACCUGGAUAUAGCUGGGUAGAUGUUAAUAACAGCAGCCAUUUAUUUGUUGCCGCAGAUAAAAGCCACCCUGAUUCUGAAGACAUCUACAUGUCCCUGAAGAGCCUUCUUCAAGAACUAAGAGAGGAAGGCUACGUUCCAAGACCAGAUCUAUGUCACCCCAUGCACCCAGAUAACAACACACAGGUUUUGACAAUUUGAUUUGUCCCUGUGGCACUGAUGCUGUUCUAUGGAAAAUCAAGGAAGAACAUAUUGUCAUACAGAUAGCUGCCUGUUGGAAAAAAAGUAUAUAUUGCAGUUCGACAUUUUCAUGAGAAAAGUGGGAUAUAUACCUGCUCUCAAGCAUUAAAACCUAAAAGAUGUGGGAAAGCAAAGGAAAAUUUGAGGAAAGUUGUUGUCUGAUAUCGAGAUUUUCAUGGAGAAGGUUGACAUGUUCAGAUGUCUUACUGUGAGGCUGUAAUAACUACCAUCGACUGUUUCAGCUGCUACUUGCAAAUACUAUGAAAGUGUACGGACAAGUAUGAAGUCAUAUGGUGUACUCUUCAGCUUCUUCUGGCUAUUUAAUUGGCCAAAUCAUUUGAGCAAAGGCCAUUUGCAGUCCUUCCACUUCGUAUUUGUGCAAGACUCUGAGAAUUCCUUAUCGCAUCCAGCAUCCUGUCCAAGAACUGAAUGAACUGGCGGUCUUCAUGAGCAACCUGGGGGUCUGAAAACCUGUCAAGAUGUGGCUCGUGGUCCUGCGCGCACAUUGCAAACAGGUAGCGUCAGAGAACUCAUCAGAAACCAUGGAUGUUGGAUAGAUAGACACACGCAUAGAAGAGAACAGAAAAGAUAUCAGCACAUGCACAACUGAUCCAGCUAGCAGAAAUUAUCGGAACGCAUUUCUCCUUCGAAGACCAAUCGACCGCCCGCCGGCGGGAGAGGAGGACCGUCGCUGAAGGCGAGCAGCUGGCGCCGGCCAUGGCCGCCGGACAGACGGCCAGCCGACUGGAUCCUCCCGAGCAACAGCCGCGAGGCCAUGGUUCCCCGAAGCAAGAGGUCAGAGGUCGCGUUGGUUUGGUUGAUGAUUCCCUGGCCUGCCUUUCCCCUCCGAGCAAGUAUGCAGGAGGGCUGCACAGGUGCAGCAGAGCAUGUUAUACAGACGGGGACGCAGAUGAAUUGAUGACUUUGAGGUCAUGGAAAGCGUCGACGGCGUCGUUGGUUUCGGUGUUGUUUGGACCAGAGCGGCGGCAUCGUUAGUACAAAGUUGAAAUUUUUGGAUCGGUUUAAAUUUUUUGAAUCGGCUGCGCUGGGGCACGCGCCGUACGAGUGACUUCUUCUAGAGGGUUCGUGCCUGACCGUGUCCGUUUCCUUUGCGUGAAGAAAUGGCUCGUCCACGGUUCUGGUCAAGAAGAUUCUAGUACUCCAUCCGUUUCAAAAUAAAUGCAAUUUUAAAAUCAAGCACGUAAAUUAAUACUAAGUGUAAAAUUACGAAAAUACUUUUUAUUUUUUGUGGUGAGUGAGUGAGGUGUUAGUUGUCUUUUGUGAGAAUCUUCUAAAAAUUAGUUUGUCUUUUGUGGUAGGUGGGUGAAAAUUAAUAUUUUUUGUGAGACAAAUUUUAAAUUUUAGAA